rnacentral:tRNA from 1 species
GCUCUAAUAAUUUAUAUAAAAUAGUGAUUUUGUAAAUCAAAAAUACCUUAAAGUUUAGAGUA